UUACGGUCAUAUAAUGUUGGAACACCGUUUUCCGUACGAUCACCAAAGUUAAACAAUGUCGAGCCUGGUCAGUACCUAGAUGGGCGAACUCUUGGGAAUACCAAAUGCUGCAAG